rnacentral:rRNA from 1 species
AAUGAACGCUGGCGGCAGGCCUAACACAUGCAAGUCGAACGGAUCCUUCGGGAUUAGUGGCGGACGGGUGAGUAACGCGUGGGAACAUACCCUUUGGUACGGAAUAGCCUCGGGAAACUGGGAGUAAUACCGUAUGUGGUCGAGAGACGAAAGAUUUAUCGCCAAAGGAUUGGCCCGCGUUGGAUUAGGUAGUUGGUGGGGUAAUGGCCUACCAAGCCGACGAUCCAUAGCUGGUUUGAGAGGAUGAUCAGCCACACUGGGACUGAGACACGGCCCAGACUCCUACGGGAGGCAGCAGUGGGGAAUCUUAGACAAUGGGGGAAACCCUGGUCUAGCCAUGCCGCGUGAUCGAUGAAGGCCUUAGGGUUGUAAAGAUCUUUCAGGUGGGAAGAUAAUGACUGUACCACCAGAAGAAGCCCCGGCUAACUACGUGCCAGCAGCCGCCGUAA